GACGAACGCUGGCGGCGUGCCUAAUACAUGCAAGUAGAACGCAGUUGCGAACGGGUGAGGAACGCGUAGGUAACUGCCUCAUAGCGGGGGAUAAAUAUUGGAAAAGAUAGCUAAUACCGCAUACUGUGAGAUGGACCUGAGUUGUAUUCGCUGGUUGGUGAGGUAAAGGCCAACCAAGGCGACGAUACAUAGCCGACCUGAGAGGGUGAGCGGGCAACCCUGGACUGAGACACGGCCCAGACCCCUACGGGUGUCAGCAGUAGGGAAUCUGUGGAAGUGGACGGAAGGCUGACCGAGCAACGCCGCGUGAGUGAAGAAGGUUGUCGGAUCGUAAAGCUCUUUUGUUAUAGAAGCGGUAACUAACCAGAAAGGGACGGCUAACUACGUGCCAGCAGCCGCGGUAAUUC
rnacentral:rRNA from 1 species